rnacentral:snoRNA from 1 species
AUGCCAAUUAAGCCGAACAUGCUCUUUUCCCUGUGGGGGCCCGGUAUGCAAGGGCUGCAAACAGCAGCCUCCUCCAUAGUGUAUGCAGCCUGUUGCCUGUAUAGGUUGCCCUAAUGGACCUUGGAGACAGCC